CCACCUCCCACCCCCAAUCUCUGAACUGCGAUGCACCGCUUGCUCUCCGUCCUCUAUUAAGUUUUCCCUCCCCUCAGCUUCUCCCUUAGGCGCCGUGACCAGUAACCGUCCAGGAAGUACUCCCCCGCCCAUCCCGAUUCCGAGGACCCGAGCCCUAGAGCGGCCUAGCCGGGUGGAUCCGGAGCUUCCUACCUCUCGCUCUCUUUCCACCCACUAUCCGUGCACACCCCUUUGACAGCCAAGACCUUGCGGAGAGCCAGAGACCGGUCCCCUGGGGCAGACCACUGCCGACUCACGGAGCUUGGGGCCAACGCGCGAGCAAGGAUCCGGCCCCGGGAGCCUGCUCAGGGAUCCAAGAGCAUGGUCAACUGGCAAGACAGAUAAAGAUACUGAAGAGAGAGGACCUCUGAUAAUGACUUCACAAUUUCCUUGGCCCUAAGGAAACAAUUCCAAAAGAAG